GAUGAACGCUGGCGGCGUGCUUAACACAUGCAAGUCGAACGGUGAAGCAGGAGCUUGCUCUUGUGGAUCUGUGGCGAACGGGUGAGUAACACGUGAGCAACCUGACCCUGACUCUGGGAUUAGCGCUGGAAACGGCGUCUAAUACUGGAUAUGUGAUGUGACCGCAUGGUCUGCAUCUGGAAAGAAUUUCGGUUGGUGAUGGGAUCGCGGCCUAUCAGCUUGUUGGUGAGGUAAUGGCUCACCAAAGCGUCGACGGGUAGCCGGCCUGAGAUGGUGACCGGCCACAAUGGGACGGAAGCACGGCCCAGACUCCUACGGUAGGAAGCAGUGUGUAAUAUUGCACAAUCGGCGGAAGCCUGAUACAGCAACGCCGCGUGAGGGAUGACGGCCUUCGGGUUGUAAACCUCGUUUAGCAGGGAAUAAGCGAAAGUGACGGUACGUGCAGAAAAAGCGCCGGCUAACUACGUGCCAGCAGCCGCAGUAA
rnacentral:rRNA from 1 species